rnacentral:lncRNA from 1 species
CCAGAUCUUGUGAGCCAACCCAAACCUGGCUGGGCUCAGAGAUGGAUGAUAUGUUAUCCGGGAGCUGGGCCCUGUUCCUGUCUGAAUGGAUUCAGGAAAUGCAGGUGUACCAUUGACGAGGUUCCCGCUCAAGGUUAUGAGGCUGUAAUGAGAACACAUCCGAAUCCCCCCCAGGAGAGGCUGCCAAGAUCCUGGAGGAGGGGGAAAGAGUGUCUGGAGAAGGAGGUGGCUGUGACCGAGAUAAGCUCCAGCCUUCCACAGCUGUCAAUCAGGGAUUUAGAGGGACUUAGAGUCACAUUUUUCCCAUCUAAAAAGAGGAUUUCAGACUAUCUGCUCUCUGGGUUGCAUGAUAUGAAGAAUAAGUCAUAUGGUGGCCAGCAUUUAAAAGAAACUAUCCAUCAAGUCUAAACAAGAGUCUCCAAGUUACCAGCUGACUGCUUCUAGACAUCUUCAUCCCUCUCCUCUAUCCAGUCUCCAUCAAUGCCUCCUCCUCUCGGAAGCCUUCCUGAAGUCCAUCAGGCAGACAUGGGCACUUUUUAUAGGAAUGAAUUCUACUUGAGACCAAAGCCCUUGAUUUCUUCACUUGGCAUUCUCAGUGCCUGGCAAAGCGCCUGAUGCAAGAUUUUUGAGCAGAGAGCCAAGCAGCAAGGCUGAACACGCAUGAACACAGUUGACUGCUGUCACCAAAUGCAGCUUGCAACGAACUUAAUUUGAAGCAUAUUUCACAAUGUUCAGAGUUCUUCUUGUGCUGCAGAGCAGUUAGUGUAAAUGGUAAACAGUCACGUGAAAGGUGGAGUCACAUUCACCUUGUCAAACCAGGACUUUUCUCUUGUCCUUCUUUCUUCAGUAUCAUUUGUAUCAGGGUCAAUAAUUUACCUUUAACUUGUUCUAUAUAAUCAAGACACAGGUAUGGACACACAUACAUACACACACAAACACACGCACACGAAAAUGGUGACCGAGUCAACUCAAAAGCUAACACAUCCUGUGCCCCAGACCCAAAUCCUCUUCUCUGCAUGACUCAAAUCUCUGCUCCUCUCCCUCCAGCUCAGCCCUCUCCACAGUCUGCUCCUGUGGUCCUUCGGUCUCGGGAAUACCUGAUCUGUACAUACCUGGUUCUCCCCCCCAGGCUGAUCGCUUAGAUGCCUGAGAGUCCGAGGAAAAGGCAAAGGAAAUCUAAAUAGGAAUUGAGUAUCAGGACUUGGAUAAGCGUUUUAUAUAUGGAUGAUCUCAUUUCAAUUUUUCAAGAACCUAGCCAGUCUGACAUUGCACAUAUUUUUAUAAACACAGAAGUUGAAGUUUAAAGAGUGAUUUGCUCAGGGUGACAAAGGUAGUAAGUGGUGAAACUGGCCAGGAGUCCAGACUCCAAAUUCCAUGGCAACACAGAAAAACUCUUGAGAAUGGGGUUGCAGAUAGCCCCUGCUGUUUAGUCUGAGAGAGUGUAAUAGGCAUUGCUUAUUUCUGACCAACACCUUAUCCCCUGGGAUCCUACCCAUCUUCUCCUCCAUGUGAUUCCGUUAGAGCUGGAAAUUAUUGAUCCUUCUUUAAUCAUGCUUCAGGGUUGUCCAAGCCUAGUACUGCAUUCCUCCACCAAGUCUAAGAGGUCCAAAGGGUGGGCAUAAGAGCCAGCAUUCAUCUCUGAAAAAUGAUAAAUGGACUAUAGGACAAAGCUUCCUCUUUCUACUGAGUUUGCUAAGCUGGAACAAUGCAAUUCUGAAGCUGC